rnacentral:rRNA from 1 species
AGUGAACGCUGGCGGUAGGCCUAACACAUGCAAGUCGAACGAGUGGCGGACGGGUGAGGAAUACAUUGAAAUCUACUCUGUCGUGGGGUAUAACGUAGGGAAACUUACGCUAAUACCGCAUACGACUGAAUGAGCCGAUGUCGGAUUAGCUAGUUGGGGGGGUAAAGGCCCACCAAGGCGACAAUCCGUAGCUGGUCUGAGAGGCUGAUCAGCCACACUGGAACUGAGACACGGUCCAGCCCCGUACGGGAGGCAGCAGUGGGGAAUAUUGGAAAAUGGGCGCAAGCCUGAUCCAGCCAUACCGCGUGGGUGAAGAAGGCCUUCGGGUUGUAAAGCCCUUUUGUUGGGAAAGCGGUACCCAAAGAAUAAGCACCGGCUAACUUCGUGCAAGCCGCCGCGGUAAAC